CUACGUGCCAGCAGCCGCGGUAAUACGUAGGUGGCAAGCGUUGUCCGGAAUUAUUGGGCGUAAAGCGCGCGCAGGCGGAUUGGUCAGUCUGUCUUAAAAGUUCGGGGCUUAACCCCGUGAUGGGAUGGAAACUGCCAAUCUAGAGUAUCGGAGAGGAAAGUGGAAUUCCUAGUGUAGCGGUGAAAUGCGUAGAUAUUAGGAAGAACACCAGUGGCGAAGGCAACUUUCUGGACGAAAACUGACGCUGAGGCGCGAAAGCCAGGGGAGCGAACGGGAUUAGAUACCCCGGUAGUCCUGGCCGUAAACGAUGGGUACUAGGUGUAGGAGGUAUCGACCCCUUCUGUGCCGGAGUUAACGCAAUAAGUACCCCGCCUGGGGAGUACGACCGCAAGGUUGAAACUCAAAGGAAUUGACGGGGGCCCGCACAAGCGGUGGAGUAUGUGGUUUAAUUCGACGCAACGCGAAGAACCUUACCAGGUCUUGACAU
rnacentral:rRNA from 1 species